rnacentral:ncRNA from 3 species
GCAUAUCAAUAAGCGGAGGAAAAGAAACCAACAGGGAUUGCCUCAGUAACGGCGAGUGAAGCGGCAACAGCUCAAAUUUGAAAUCUGGCCUCUUGGGGUCCGAGUUGUAAUUUGUAGAGGAUGUUUCGGGUACCGCCUCGGUUUAAAUUUCUUGGAACAGAAUGUCAAAGAGGGUGAGAAUCCCGUCUUGGACCGGCGGUAGGGCCUAUGUGAAACUCCUUCGACGAGUCGAGUUGUUUGGGAAUGCAGCUCAAAAUGGGUGGUAAAUUUCAUCUAAAGCUAAAUAUUGGCCAGAGACCGAUAGCGCACAAGUAGAGUGAUCGAAAGAUGAAAAGCACUUUGAAAAGAGAGUUAAACAGUAUGUGAAAUUGUUGAAAGGGAAGCGCUUGCAACCAGACUUGAGCGCGGCGGUUCCCCCUUGCUUCUGCUUGGGUUACUCCGCCGUGUCCAGGCCAACAUCGGUUCUGGGGGUCGGUCAAAGGCUCUGGGAAUGUAUCUACCCACGGGUAGACUUAUAGACCAGGGUGUCAUGCGACCUCCCGGGACCGAGGAACGCGCUUCGGCUCGGAUGUUGGCGUAAUGGUUGUCAGCGACCCGUCUUGAAACACGGACC